rnacentral:rRNA from 1 species
UAGGGAAUCUUCGGCAAUGGGGGGAACCCUGACCGAGCAACGCCGCGUGAGUGAAGAAGGUUUUCGGAUCGUAAAGCUCUGUUGUUAAGGAAGAACGAGUGUGAGAAUGGAAAGUUCAUGCUGUGACGGUACUUAACCAGAAAGGGACGGCUAACUACGUGCCAGCAGCCGCGGUAAUACGUAGGUCCCGAGCGUUGUCCGGAUUUAUUGGGCGUAAAGCGAGCGCAGGCGGUUAGAUAAGUCUGAAGUUAAAGGCAGUGGCUCAACCAUUGUAGGCUUUGGAAACUGUUUAACUUGAGUGCAGAAGGGGAGAGUGGAAUUCCAUGUGUAGCGGUGAAAUGCGUAGCUAUAUGGAGGAACACCGGUGGCGAAAGCGGCUCUCUGGUCUGUACCUGACGCUGAGGCUCGAACGCGUGGGGAGCGAACAGG